UACAGAGGGGGCAAGCGUUGUCCGGAAUCAUUGGGCGUAAAGAGCGUGUAGGCGGCUCGGUAAGUCCGCUGUAAAAGUCCAGGGCUCAACCCUGGAAAGCCGGUGGAAACUGUCGAGCUAGAGUCCGGAAGAGGCGAGUGGAAUUCCUGGUGUAGCGGUGAAAUGCGCAGAUAUCAGGAGGAACACCAAUGGCGAAGGCAGCUCGCUGGGACGGUACUGACGCUGAGACGCGAAAGCGUGGGGAGCAAACAGG
rnacentral:rRNA from 1 species